rnacentral:rRNA from 1 species
AUUGAACGCUGGCGGAAUGCUUUACACAUGCAAGUCGAACGGCAGCACGGGGGCAACCCUGGUGGCGAGUGGCGAACGGGUGAGUAAUGUAUCGGAACGUGCCCAGUCGUGGGGGAUAACGUAGUGAAAAUUACGCUAAUACCGCAUACGAUCUACGGAUGAAAGCGGGGGAUCGCAAGACCUCGCGCGAUUGGAGCGGCCGAUAUCAGAUUAGGUAGUUGGUGGGGUAAAGGCUCACCAAGCCGACGAUCUGUAGCUGGUCUGAGAAGACGACCAGCCACACUGGAACUGAGACACGGUCCAGACUCCUACGGGAGGCAGCAGUGGGGAAUUUUGGACAAUGGGCGCAAGCCUGAUCCAGCCAUUCCGCGUGCAGGAUGAAGGCCCUCGGGUUGUAAACUGCUUUUGUACGGAGCGAAAAGGCUCUCUCUAAUACAGGGGGCUCAUGACGGUACCGUAAGAAUAAGCACCGGCUAACUACGUG